AAACCCUUGCUCUGAAGUCACAGGCCUGACUUCCAGACUAGGCUCUGCCCCUAAGGAAAUCACCUUUCUGGUCUUAGUCUCCCCAUCUGAAAAUGGCAUAACCAACCUACCUGCCUCAAAUACAAGACCCUGCUUGUGAAGCGUCUCCUGGCUCAGACCAGUGCUAGAAGUGUCCAGUCUAGCAGCUCCUGGACCAAGACUCCGUGGCCAUUCCCUUCCUCCUGCCUUCCAUCCACCCCCUUACGGUCAGAGCUCCGAAGGCAGCGUGGUGACGGGUGCGGGGAGGGGAGUGGGGGGAUCUCUCUGAGAUACUUCUGCCUUGGGGUCACUGGAUCAUUCAUUCGACAAACAUCCGCGAGCAAGUCAGGAACUAGGAGUCAUCCUUGCCACCUCCCUCUCCCUCGCUGCCUAUAUUAAAAUACACCUCCAUUUCCUGUCGAUUCUCUUUCCUAAAUAUCUUUCCAGUCCACCAUUCCUUCCGUUUGCCCCACCACCUCCCGCCUGGGCUCC
rnacentral:lncRNA from 1 species